AUGAUUAUAUCACAUUUUCCAAAAUGUGUGGCAGUUUUUGCCCUCCUUGCUCUGAGUGUUGGUGCACUGGACACUUUUAUUGCUGCAGUAUAUGAGCAUGCGGUGAUAUUACCAAACAGAACAGAAACACCUGUUUCAAAAGAAGAAGCUUUGCUCCUGAUGAACAAGAACAUAGAUGUUUUGGAGAAAGCAGUUAAGCUGGCAGCGAAGCAGGGUGCACAUAUCAUUGUGACCCCAGAAGAUGGAAUCUAUGGUUGGAUCUUCACCAGGGAGAGCAUUUACCCCUAUCUAGAGGAUAUACCAGACCCUGGAGUGAACUGGAUUCCAUGUAGAGACCCCUGGAGAAAUCACUAAAAUAUAGUAAGUUUGAGGAAAUGUCUAUUGAAUUAGAUUCGGCAACACACCAGUGCAACAAAGACUCAGCUGCCUGGCCAAGGACAACUCUAUCUAUGUCGUGGCUAAUAUUGGGGACAAGAAGCCAUGCAAUGCCAGUGACUCUCAGUGUCCCCCUGAUGGCCGUUACCAAUACAACACUGAUGUGGUGUUUGAUUCUCAGGGAAAACUGUUGGCACGCUACCAUAAGGGAGUGGAAUCUACGCCCCAGAAGCAGUCAAGGUGUACCACUAUGACAUGGAAACAGAGAGUGGUCAGCUGUUGCUAUCAGAACUGAAGUCUCGGCCCCGCCGUGAGCCCACCUACCCUGCAGCUGUUGACUGGCAUGCGUAUGCCAGCAGUGUCAAGCCAUUUUCCUCUGAACAGUCAGAUUUUCUGGGGAUGAUUUAUUUUGAUGAGUUUACCUUCACCAAGCUUAAGAGAAAUACAGGAAAUUACACAGCUUGCCAGAAAGAUCUGUGUUGUCACUUAACUUACAAGAUGUCUGAGAAGCGAACAGACGAGAUCUAUGCCCUAGGUGCUUUUGAUGGACUGCACACAGUAGAAGGCCAAUAUUACUUACAGAUAUGUGCAUUACUGAAGUGUCAAACCACUGACCUGGAAACGUGUGGAGAACCUGUGGGGUCAGCUUUUACCAAGUUUGAAGACUUCUCCCUCAGUGGCACAUUUGGAACGCGUUAUGUUUUCCCACAGAUCAUUCUAAGUGGGAGUCAGCUUGCCCCUGAAAGACAUUAUGAGAUUUCAAGAGAUGGACGCUUGAGGAGCCGAAGUGGAGCCCCUUUGCCUGUCUUAGUUAUGGCCCUGUAUGGAAGAGUGUUUGAGAAGGACCCUCCACGCUUAGGGCAGGGAUCUGGGAAAUUCCAGUGAUCUCCUUUAGCAGAGCCCUUUUAGGAUUAGCCUGGCUAAGAAAGGAAGAAAAAAAAGAGAUCCGUUAGUGUCUGUUUAGAAAAGAUGUUAUAAACUUACAGAAACAAAUAUAAUAAACUGAAGCAGAUUUGAAAAGCAA
ensembl:lncRNA VNN3P vanin 3, pseudogene